rnacentral:rRNA from 1 species
AAUGAACGCUGGCGGCAGGCCUAACACAUGCAAGUCGAACGAAGCCUUCGGGCUUAGUGGCGGACGGGUGAGUAACGCGUGGGAACAUACCCAAAGGUACGGAAUAGCCUCGGGAAACUGGGAGUAAUACCGUAUGUGCCCUUCGGGGGAAAGAUUUAUCGCCUUUGGAUUGGCCCGCGUUGGAUUAGGUAGUUGGUGGGGUAAUGGCCUACCAAGCCGACGAUCCAUAGCUGGUUUGAGAGGAUGAUCAGCCACACUGGGACUGAGACACGGCCCAGACUCCUACGGGAGGCAGCAGUGGGGAAUCUUAGACAAUGGGCGCAAGCCUGAUCCAGCAAUGCCGCGUGAGUGAUGAAGGCCUUAGGGUUGUAAAGCUCUUUUACCCGGGAUGAUAAUGACAGUACCGGGAGAAUAAGCUCCGGCUAACUCCGUG